CAGUAGCCACGGGAAUACGUAGGGGGCAAGCGUUAUCCGGAAUUACUGGGUGUAAAGGGAGCGUAGACGGUUAAACAAGUCUGAAGUGAAAUGCCGGGGCUCAACCCCGGAGCUGCUUUGGGAACUGUAGAACUGGAGUGUCGGAGGGGUAAGCGGAAUUCCCAGUGUAGCGGUGAAAUGCGUAGAUAUUGGGAGGAACACCGGCGGCGAAGGCGGCUUACUGGACGACAACUGACGUUGAGGCUCGAAGGCGUGGGUAGCAAACAGGAUUAGAUACCCCAGUAGUCCCUGUCUCUUAUAC
rnacentral:rRNA from 1 species